rnacentral:rRNA from 1 species
UGGGGAAUUUUGGACAAUGGGCGAAAGCCUGAUCCAGCCAUGCCGCGUGAGGGAAGAAGGCCUUCGGGUUGUAAACCUCUUUCGGCCGGGACGAAAUCGGGCAGGUGAAUAGCUUGCCUGGAUGACGGUACCGGAAGAAGAAGCACCGGCUAACUACGUGCCAGCAGCCGCGGUAAUACGUAGGGUGCGAGCGUUAAUCGGAAUUACUGGGCGUAAAGCGUGCGCAGGCGGUUAUUUAAGCCAGACGUGAAAUCCCCGGGCUUAACCUGGGAAUGGCGUUUGGGACUGGAUAGCUCGAGUGCGGCAGAGGGGGGUGGAAUUCCAGGUGUAGCAGUGAAAUGCGUAGAGAUCUGGAGGAACACCGAUGGCGAAGGCAACCCCCUGGGCCGACACUGACGCUCAGGCACGAAAGCGUGGGGAGCAAACAG